rnacentral:rRNA from 1 species
AUGCGGUCCACUGGUCCCUCGAGCCCGUGCACACCUCCAAGAACGACGCCCCUAAGGGGGGAACGACAUAAGAACGCCGCCGUCUUCCGAUCAACUAAUCUAGGAUUUCCCCCGGAGGUAGCAGACAGUGACCUUGAAACUCUCCUCGGCGAUGCCUUCAAGAGGGAAUGUCGCAAAAUAGCGCCGCCACCGCCGGCUUUGGCAAUAAGCCGAAAGCAAGUUUUCACCCGGAUCUGUUCGAAGGACCUCCAUCAAGCAUCUCGUGCACGGAUCGCCGCCAUCUCUGCCGGGGACUGGACGAUGGAUCCAGGCCGCCGCCGCCUGACCGGCCAUGGCACCACCGCGGUGCCUAAGCCGGCGCCGUCAGGCCCACCAUGCCUGCCUGUAGACGCCCUCCAGAUCUUCCGGCCCGCGGACGAAGCACGCGAUCUGGGCCGCCGCCAUAGGUGCUCCUCGGCCGCGGGAGACGGCGCCUGCGCUGUCGUUGCUGUCACACUCGCCGCCGGGCGCCCGCUGCUCCUUGCCGCCGGUGCACCGCCGAUCCAUGAGCCGCCGCCGACGACAAGAGAUCGCCACCACCGCGCGAGGGGGAGGGCCCCGCCGCCGCCGUCACUGGCCAGGCAACGCCGGCCAGGCCUCGAGUGGCGGCAGGAGGAGGGAGAGAGGAGCUGA